rnacentral:rRNA from 1 species
CACGUAGGGCGCAAGCGUUGUCCGGAAUUAUUGGGCGUAAAGAGCUCGUAGGCGGUCUGUUGCGUCUGCUGUGAAAACUCAGGGCUUAACCCUGAGCUUGCAGUGGGUACGGGCAGACUAGAGUGCGGUAGGGGAGACUGGAAUUCCUGGUGUAGCGGUGAAAUGCGCAGAUAUCAGGAGGAACACCGGUGGGCGAAGGCGGGGUCUCUGGGCCGUAACUGACGCUGGAGGAG